rnacentral:rRNA from 1 species
CCCUACGGGGCGCAGCAGGCGCGAAAACUUUACAAUGCGGGAAACCGUGAUAAGGGGACACCGAGUGCUAGCAUCAUAUGCUGGCUGUCCAGGUGUGUAAAAUACACCUGUUAGCAAGGGCCGGGCAAGACCGGUGCCAGCCGCCGCGGUAACACCGGCGGCCCGAGUGGUGAUYGUGAUUAUUGGGUCUAAAGGGUCCGUAGCCGGUUUGGUCAGUCUUCCGGGAAAUCUGAUAGCUCAACUAUUAGGCUUUCGGGGGAUACUGCCAGA